ACGGCUACAUCUUGUUGAAAAACCGGCUCCCGUACGAUCAUCAACGUUAAGCAACGUCGAGCCUGGUCAGUACCUAGAUGGGUGACCAGUUGAGAAUACCAAGUUCUGUAA